AUGAUUAGAAGCAUAUUUACAUGAUUUGAGUGAAAAUUACAUGUGUACAAACCCAAUUUAGCCUGGGGCCCAAUAAGAACCCAAACCCAACAGCACUAGCCUAAUUUUACAAUAUAAGCCCAAGAUCCAAACCCCAAGGCCCAAAACUAAACCUAAUUCAGUUACAAGACCCAAAGGGCCCAAAACCCGAGCAGCCCAAAUAGAAAAAAAAAAGAGAAGGAAAACCCUAGGUGCGCCGCACCUAGGCCUGUCCUUCUGCCACUGCCGCACCUAACCCCUGACCACUUGUCGCCGCGCCACCUGCUCUGCCACCACCUGCUCCCCUCCAUCAACGCCUGUAAACGCCAAAACAGAAAUGACAACAUGGAAAAAGAAAUGGCAGUUUAUACAAAUAAAAAAAAUAUACAUGAAUCGGCUAUAAAAGCCAUUUUUUUUUGUAACAGAUGGGGGGGAUAAAACAACAUAGUUUUGAGGACACCCGAUCUGACUUGACCCAAUAUCCCUGGGAUCCGCGUGUUUUAAACAGAAAUAGACUAUUUCUUGCUUCAGCC
rnacentral:lncRNA from 1 species